AUACUUACCUGGCAGGGGAGAUACCGUGAUCACAAAGGUGGUUUUCCCAGGGUGAGGUUUAUCCAUUACACUCCAGAUGUGCUGGCCCCUGCAAUUUCCCCGAAUUUGAGAAAC
rfam:Neotoma lepida isolate 417 scaffold_1650, whole genome shotgun sequence.